GCUUCUAAUGAUGAUUUCAAAUACUUUCGUUCUUCCGAGAAACUCAAUGAGGAAGAAUUUGGAGACCUGAACUGAAGAGGC
rfam:Daucus carota subsp. sativus cultivar DH1 chromosome 1, whole genome shotgun sequence.